rnacentral:rRNA from 1 species
UACGGAGGGUGCAAGCGUUAUCCGGAUUCACUGGGUUUAAAGGGUGCGUAGGCGGGUAUAUAAGUCAGUGGUGAAAAGCUCCGGGCUUAACUUGGAAACUGCCAUUGAUACUGUAUAUCUUGAAUGUCGUUGAGGUAAGCGGAAUGUUGCAUGUAGCGGUGAAAUGCUUAGAUAUGUUACAGAACACCAAUUGUGAAGACAGCUUACUAAGCGAUAAUUGACGCUGAGGCACGAAAGCGUGGGGAGCAAACAGG